rnacentral:RNase_P_RNA from 1 species
GCGGAUGGCCGGACGGUCGCCGGUGUCGGGGGCUUCCCCGACGCGGGAGGAAAGUCCGGACUCCACAAGACAACGGUGCCGGGUAACGCCCGGCCGGGGAAACCCGAGGGAAAGCGCCACAGAGAACAAACCGCCCCGCAUGUCGGGGUGAGGCUGAAACGGUGGGGUAAGAGCCCACCGCGGGACCGGCAACGGAACCGGCAAGGCAAGCCCCACCGGGAGCAAUGCCGAAUAGGGAUCUCGCGCCCCGCGUGGGCAGGGCCGUCUUGGCCCGGAGGUCCGGGUUGGCAGCUGAAGCCGCGUGGCGACACGCGGCUUAGAGGAAUGAUCGUCGAACCGGGGUCCGCCCCGGGGAACAGAAUCCGGCUUACAGGCCAUCCGCGCAU